rnacentral:rRNA from 1 species
CGCAUCUGUGCAUGCAGCAUAUCAAUAAGCGGAGGAAAAGAAACUAACAAGGAUUCCCUUAGUAACGGCGAGUGAAGCGGGAAGAGCUCAAAUUUGAAAUCUUCAAGGUUUUACCUUGACGAAUUGUAGUUUAAAGAAGUGUUUUCUGUUGAAGUUUUGGUAAAAGUUCUUUGGAAUAGGACAUCAUAGAGGGUGAGAAUCCCGUAUUUGACCAUUAUUUUCAGCUGUGUGAUACGCUUUCAAAGAGUCGGAUUGUUUGGGAAUGCAGUCCAAAAUGGGUGGUAAAUUUCAUCUAAAGCUAAAUAUUGGCGAGAGACCGAUAGCGAGCAAGUACCGUGAGGGAAAGAUGAAAAGAACUUUGAAAAGAGAGUUAAACAGUACGUGAAAUUGUCAAAAGGGAAGCGUUUGACACCAGUGUUGUUUUCUCGAAAAUCAAUUAAAAAGAGUUAGAUUUUGUUGUGUAUUGACCUUAACAGCUUGCAUUUCAAUUUUCUUGCUUUAUUUAAUGCACUUUUCAGUUAACAAGUCAACAUCAGUUUCUUUUGUUGUAAAAAGGUAAUAGGAAGGUGGCUUUCUCUUCGGCGCAAGUGUUUAUAGCCUUUGACUCCUGCAAUCGGAGAGAUUGAGGUCUGCAGCGUAGAUCCUUCGGGGUUAGAUACAUUUGUGCUAAGCUAUAGCCUUGUAUAGACAACUUGUUGACUAUGCUCAGUCAUGUAGCUUACUCGCUUAUGCUAUUUUACCUACGCUUAGGAUGUUGAUAUGCAUGACUGAUAU